rnacentral:lncRNA from 1 species
GCAUAUGUUAAAUAAUACAAAAUAAUUAUUUUUUUCAAAAACUUAAGCUAUCAGAUAAUGAUAUUCUUAAUAUUUACAUUCAAUACUCUUCAGAGUCCAAGACUUUUUUAUAGGUUUAAACUUGAGCUUUUGAAUUAAAUGGGGAGAAAUUAAAUAAUGCUGGGGGUUCGGCAAAUUCGAACUAAAAAUCUCAUACUCUGAUUUUGAAAUAAUUGUUUGCUCUAAAAGCUUCAAUUAAGUCUCACGUGACUCGACUCCAAUAUUUUUUGUUCUGAUAUCAUAUUAAAUAGUACGAAACAAUCAUUUUUUUCAAAAACUUAAGCCAUCAGAGAAUGAUACUUUUAAAAUUUAUAUUUAACAAUAUCUGAGUUGAACUCAAACUCAGCAUGAUUAAACUCACACUAUAUACACCCAUCUCUGAUCGUUGCGUCUCCUU